UGGAAGAUGGCGAGUUCAUUAAUGUC
rnacentral:piRNA from 1 species